CCCAUAGUGGUGGGUCAGGGCCCAUAGGUGUGGGGUGGGACCCAUAGAUGUGGGGUGGGACCCCUAAGUGGGGGGCUGGGACCCACAGAUGUGGGAUGGGACCCAUAGGUGUAGGGCUGCCCCACAAGUGGGGGGCUGGGACUCAUAGGUGUGGGGCGGGACCCCUAAGUGGGGGGGCUGGGAGCCUUAGGUGUGGGGUGGGACCCAUAGGUGUGGGAUGGGACCCCUAAGUGGGGGGGCUGGGACCCAUAGAUGUGGGGCGGGACCCCUAAGUGGGGGGCUGGGACCCAUAGGUGUGGGGUGGGACCCAUAGAUGUGGGGUGGGACCCCUAAGUGGGGAUGCUGGGACCCCUAUGUGGGGAUGCUGGGACCCAUAGGUGGGGAGUGGGACCCAUAGGUGUGGGGCUGCCCCACAAGUGGGGGGGGAGGGACCCAUAGGUGGGGAGUGGGACCCCUAAGUGGGGGGCUGGACCCAUAGAUGUGGGGCUGCCCCACAAGUGGGGGGGGGAAGGCGGGACCCAUAGGCGUGGGGCGGGACCCAUAGAUGUGGGGCUGCCCUACAAGUGGGGGGGCGGGACCUAUAGGAAGAGAGGGAGGACCCAUAGGUGUGGGGCGGGACCCAUAGGUGUGGGGUGGGAAUCUAUAGACCCAUAGGUGUGGGGCCCAUAGAUGUGGGUCUGCCCCAUAGAUGUGGGUCUGCCCCAUAGAUGUGGGACCUUAGAAACCAGCCCCAUAGAUGUGGCUCUGCCCCAUAGAUGUGGGACCUUAGAACCCAGACCCAUAGAUGUGAGUCCAGUGGCUCUGCCCCAUAGAUGUGGGGUCCAUUGGGGUCUGCCCCAUAGAUGUGGGUCCCAGUGAGUCUGCCCCAUAGAUGUGGCUCUGCCCCAUAGAUGUGGGACCCAUAGAAGUGGGAUCUAUGGGGCCAGCCCCAUAAAUGGAAGACCCUUAUGGAUCAGACCCAUAGAUGUGGGACCCCCAGAUCUCAGCCCCCCACAUAGAAGUGUUCUCUAUGGGUCCCGCCCCACACUUAUGGGUCUGCCCCAUAGAUGCGGCUCUGCCCCAUAGAUUUGGGACCCAUAGGGAUCUGCCCCAUAGAUGUGGGACCCCCAGAUCUGAUCCCCCCCCCAUGUACAGAGCCCAGCAG
rnacentral:lncRNA from 1 species